UACGUAGGCGGGUUGGUAAGUCAGAGGUGAAAUCCUGCAGCUUAACUGUAGAAUUGCCUUUGAAACUGCCAGUCUUGAGUUCGGUUGAAGUGGACGGAAUAUAGCAUGUAGCGGUGAAAUGCUUAGAUAUGCUAUAGAACACCGAUUGCGAAGGCAGUUCACUAAGCCGAUACUGACGCUGAGGUACGAAAGCGUGGGGAGCGAACAGGAUUAGAUACCCUGGUAGUCC
rnacentral:rRNA from 1 species